UAAGGGCUCACAAAGGCGACGAUCCCUAGCUGGUCUGAGAGGAUGAUCAGCCACACUGGAACUGAGACACGGUCCAGACUCCUACGGGAGGCAGCAGUGGGGAAUAUUGCACAAUGGGCGCAAGCCUGAUGCAGCCAUGCCGCGUGUGUGAAGAAGGCCUUCGGGUUGUAAAGCACUUUCAGUCGUGAGGAAGGUAGUGUAGUUAAUAGCUGCAUUAUUUGACGUUAGCGACAGAAGAAGCACCGGCUAACUCCGUGCCAGCAGCCGCGGUAAUACGGAGGGUGCGAGCGUUAAUCGGAAUUACUGGGCGUAAAGCGCAUGCAGGUGGUUUGUUAAGUCAGAUGUGAAAGCCCGGGGCUCAACCUCGGAAUUGCAUUUGAAACUGGCAGACUAGAGUACUGUAGAGGGGGG
rnacentral:rRNA from 1 species